rnacentral:lncRNA from 1 species
CAUUUUAGUUACGACUAAGUGCCACACCAAUGAAUGUGAAUGUCUGUUCAGGUAAUAAGUAUCACCAUUAGCAAUUUCGUUUGUCCCCAUAGUCUAUGUGUGUCCCAUGUCCUUUCAGCACCUUCUGCUCUUUUCCUGCAUUUUCGCGUACCAUGCUGCAAUGUUGCAUUAGAUUUUGGCCAAAACUUCUUGCCUAGAUAUGGCCAUUUUAUUUUUGCUACACCAUAGUUAGUUAGCUGAGCCAUUUAAAUACAAUUUCAGGGUUUUCUUGUUGCUGCUAUUCCUCGUGGAUAUUCAAGAGGCAACUUGGCACCUAAUGUCAGCAACGUGCUUAUCGGUGACGAGGGAAAUGAAAGAAGGCUGCAAUGGAAUUUGUACUAGGUAUGUUUCUCCGUCUCCUCAACUCUCUAAGUCUUCAUCCCAAUUCCCAGAUAUAGAGAUUGAUAUUGGUCUGUAGCUAGGUUCAAAUAUUUUCUUCCUUACAUUAAGCAACUUCCCUCAAAAAAUAAUGUUUCAUCGUUGUGCCUCUUACAGACUAUAGUACCUAUUACAGACUACAACUUACCUGUAACUCCAAGUCCUAUCAUAAUCUUGGUGGAAUGUGAAAGACAUAAAUCAUAUGUACCAAUAGACCAAAAAAUCCUCUCUGUUGUAAAAUAAAAGAAUUAAGAACUUAAUAGUACGUAGAAAAUAGUGGUAUUAGUUGAAACACCUGUUGGGGAACGUUGCAGAAAAUAAAAAAAUCUACGGUUUCACCAAGAUCAAUCUAUGAGUUCAUCUAGCAACGAGAGAGAGGAGUGGAUCUACAUACCCUUGUAGAUCGAGCGGGAGCAUUCAAGAGAACAGGGUUGAGGGAGUCGUACUCGUCGUGAUCCAAAUCACCGAAGAUCCUAGCGCCGAACGGAUGGCACCUUCGCGUUCAACACACGUACGGUCAGGGAGACGUCUCCUCCUUCUUGAUCCAGCAAGGGGGAAGGAGAUGUUGAUGAAGAUCCAGCAGCACGAUGGCGUGGUGGUGGAUGCAGCAGGGAUCUCGGUAGGGCUUCGCCAAGCGUCUGCUAGAGGGAGAGGUGUAGCAAGGGGGAAGGGAGGCGCGAAGUGCAUGGGUGCGGCUGUCCUCCCUCCCCCCUCUUUAUAUAGGGACCCUAGGGGGGCGCCGGCCCUAGGAGAUUGAAUCUCCAAGGGGGGGCAGCGGCCAAGGGGGUGCCUUGCCCCCCAAGGCAAGUGGAGGCGCCCCCCACCCCUAGGGUUUCCAACCCUAGGCACAGGGGGGCCCAAGGGGGGGCGCACCAGCCCACCAGGGGCUGGUUCCCCUCCCACUUCAGCCCAUGGGGCCCUCCGGGAUAGGUGGCCCCACCCGGUGGACCCCCGGGACCCUUCCGGUGGUCCCAGUACAAUACUGGUGACCCCCGAAACUUUCCCAUGGCCGAAACUCGACUUCCUAUAUAUAAUUCUUUACCUCCGGACCAUUCCGGAACUCCUCGUGACGUCCGAGAUCUCAUCCGGGACUCCGAACAACUUUCGGUUUACUGCAUACUCAUAUCUCUACAACCCUAGCAUUACCGAACCUUAAGUGUGUAGACCCUACGGGUUCGGGAGACAUGCAGACAUGACCGAGAUGCCUCUCCGGUAAAUAACCAAUAGCGGGAUCUGGAUACCCAUGUUGGCUCCCACAUGCUCUUCGAUGAUCUCAUCGGAUGAACCACGACGUAACCCUUUACCAUGAUGUCGAGGAUUCAAACAACCCCGUAUAUAAUUCCCUUUGUCAAUCGGUAUGUUACAUGGCCGAGACUCGAUCAUCGGUAUCCCAAUUCCUUGUUUAAUCUCGUUACCCGAAAGUCACUUUACUCGUACCGUAAUGCAUGAUACCAUGACCAGACACUUGGUCACAUUGAGCUCAUUAUGAUGAUGCAUUACCGAGUGGGCCCAGAGAUACCUCUUUGUCAUACGGAGUGACAAAUCCCCGUCUCGAUUCGUGCCAACCCAACAGACACUUUUGGAGAUACCCAUAGUGCACCUUUAUAGUCACCCAAUUACGUUGUGACGUUUGGUACACCCAAAGCACUCCUAUAGUAUCCGGGAGUUGCACAAUCUCAUGGUCUAAGGAAAUGAAACUUGACAUUUGGAAAAACUCUAGCUAAACGAACAACACGAUCUUUGAGCUAUGCUUAGGAUUGGGUUUUGUCCAUCACAUCGUUCUCCUAAUGAUGUGAUCCCGUUAUCAAUUACAUCCAAUGUCCAUAGUUAGGAAACCAUAAAUAUCUGUUAAUCAACGAGCUAGUCAACUAGAGGCUCACUAGGGACAUGUUGUGGUCUAUGUAUUCACACGUGUAUUACGAUUUUCGGAUAAUACAAUUAUAGCAUGAAUAACAGCCAAUUAUCAUGAACAAAGAAAUAUAAUAAUAACCAUUUUAUUAUUGCCUCUAGGGCAUAUUUCCAAUAGUCUCCCACUUGCACUAGACUUCAAUAAUCUAGUUACAUUGUGAUGAAUCAAACACCCAUGGAAUUCUGGUAUUAUUCAUGUUUUGCCCUAGGGAGAGGUUUAGUCAACGGAUCUGCCACAUUUAGGUCCGUAUGUACUUUACAAAUAUCUAUGUCUCCAUCUUGAACAUUUUCAUGAAUGGAGUUGAAGCGACGCUUGAUGUGCCUGGUCUUCUUGUGAAACCUGGGCUCCUUGGCAAGUGCAAUAACUCCAGUGUUGUCACAGAAGAGUUUGAUCGGCCCCGACGCAUUGGGUAUGACUCCUAGGUCGGUGAUGAACUCCUUCACCCAUAUUGCUUCAUGCGCUGCCUCUGAGGCUGCCAUGUACUCCGCUUCACAUGUAGAUCCCGCCACGACGCUUUGCUUGCAACUGCACCAGCUUACUGCCCCACCAUUCAAAAUAUACACGUAUCCGGUUUGUGACUUCGAGUCAUCCAGAUCUGUGUCGAAGCUAGCAUCGACAUAACCCUUUACGGCGAGCUCUUCGUCACCUCCAUAGACGAGAAACAUGUCCUUUGUCCUUUUCAGGUACUUCAGGAUAUUCUUGACCGCUGUCCAGUGUUCCUUGCCAGGAUUACUUUGGUACCUUCCUACCAAACUUACAGCAAGGUUUACAUCAGGUCUGGUACACAGCAUGGCAUACAUAAUAGAUCCUAUGGCUGAGGCAUAGGGGAUGACACUCAUCUCUUCUUUAUCUUCUGCCAUGGUCGGGCAUUGAGCCGAGCUCAAUCUCACACCUUGCAAUACAGGCAAGAACCCUUUCUUGGACUGAUCCAUAUUGAACUUCUUCAAUAUCUUAUCAAGGUAUGUGCUUUGUGAAAGACCUAUGAGGCGUCAUGAUCUAUCCCUAUAGAUCUUGAUGCCUAAUAUGUAAGCAGCUUCUCCAAGGUCCUUAAUUGAAAAACACUUAUUCAAGUAGGCCUUGAUGCUGUCCAAAAGUUCUAUAUCAUUUCCCAUCAAAAGUAUGUCAUCUACAUAUAAUAUGAGAAAUGCUACAGAGCUCCCACUCACUUUCUUGUAAACGUAGACUUCUCCAUAAGUCUGCAUAAACCCAAACGCUUUGAUCAUCUCAUCAAAGCAAAUGUUCCAACUCCGAGAUGCUUGCACCAGCCCAUAAAUGGAUCGCUGGAGCUUGCAUACGUUGUUAGCAUUCUUAGGAUCGACAAAACCUUCCGGCUGCAUCAUAUACAGUUCUUCCUUAAGAUAAUCGUUAAGGAAUGCCGUUUUGACGUCCAUCUGCCAUAUCUCAUAAUCAUAGUAUGCGGCAAUUCCUAACAUGAUUCGGACGGACUUCAGCUUCGCUACGGGCAAGAAAGUCUCAUCGUAGUCAACUCCUUGAACUUGCCGAUAAUCCUUGGCGACAAGUCGAGCUUUAUAGAUGGUAACAUUACCAUCUACGUCCGUCUUCUUCUUAAAGAUCCAUUUGUUUUCUAUCGCUCGCCGAUCAUCUGGCAAGUCUGUCAAAGUCCAUACUUUGUUUUCAUACAUGGAUUCUAUCUCGGAUUGCAUGGCUUCAAGCCAUUUGUUGGAAUCUGGGCCCGCCAUUGCUUCUUCAUAGUUUGAAGGUUCACCGUUGUCUAACAACAUGAUUUCCAGGACAGGGUUGCCAUACCACUCUGGUGUGGAACGUGUCCUUGUGGACCUACGAAGUGCAGUAGCAACUUGAUCCGAAGUACCUCGAUCAUCAUCAUUAAUUUCCUCUCCAGUCGGUGUAGGCACCACAGGAACAUCUUCCUGAGCUGCGCUACUUACCGGUUCAAGAGGUAGUACUUCAUCAAGUUCCACUUUCGUCCUACUUACUUCUCUCGGGAGAAACUCUUUCUCCAGAAAGGACCCGUUCUUGGCAAUAAAAAUCUUGCCUUCGGAUCUAAGGUAGAAGGUAUACCCAAUGGUUUCCUUAGGGUAUCCUAUGAAGACGCAUUUUUCCGACUUGGGUUCGAGCUUUUCAGGUUGAAGUUUCUUGACAUAAGCAUCGCAUCCCCAAACUUUUAGAAACGACAGCUUAGGUUUCUUCCCAAACCAUAAUUCAUAUGGUGUCGUCUCAACGGAUUUAGACGGUGCCCUAUUUAAAGUGAAUGUAGUUGUCUCUAGAGCGUAUCCCCAAAAAGAUAGCGAUAAAUCGGUAAGAGACAUGAUAGAUCACACCAAAUCCAAUAAAGUGCGAUUGCGAUGUUCGGACACACCGUUACGCUGAGGUGUUCCAGGCGGCGUGAGUUGUGAAACGAUUCCACAUUUCCUUAAGUGCGUACCAAAUUCAUGACUUAAAUAUUCUCCUCCACGAUCUGAUCGUAAGAACUUUAUUUUUGGUCACGUUGAUUCUCUACCUCAUUCUGAAAUUCCUUGAACUUUUCAAAGGUCUCAGACUUGUGUUUCAUCAAGUAGACAUACCCAUAUCUACUCAAGUCAUCAGUGAGAGUGAGAACAUAACGAUGUCCUCCGCGAGCCUCAACGCUCAUUGGACCACACACAUCAGUAUGUAUGAUUUCCAAUACGUUGGUUGCUCGCUCCAUUGUUCCGGAGAACGGAGUCUUGGUCAUUUUGCCCAUGAGGAAUGGCUCGCAUGUGUCAAAUGAUUCAUAAUCGAGAGACUCUAAAAGUCCAUCAGCAUGGAGCUUCUUCAUGCGCUUGACGCCAAUGUGACCAAGGCGGCAGUGCCACAAGUAUGUGGGACUAUCGUUAUCAACUUUACAUCUUUUGGUAUUCACACUAUGAAUAUGUGUAACAUCACGUUCGAGAUUCAUUAAGAAUAAACCAUUGACCAUCGGGGCAUGACCAUAAAACACAUCUCUCAUAUAAAUAGAAUAACCAUUAUUCUAGGAUUUAAAUGAGUAGUCAUCUCGUAUUAAACGAGAUCCAGAUACAAUGUUCAUGCUCAAAGCUGGCACUAAAUAACAAUUAUUGAGGUUUAAAACUAAUCCCGUAGGUAAAUGUAGAGGUAGCCUGCCGACGGCGAUCACAUCGACUCUGGAACCAUUCCCGAUGCGCAUCGUCACCUCGUCCUUCGCCAGUCUCUGCUUAUUCAGCAGCUCGUGCUUUGAGAUACAAAUAUGAGCAACGACACCGGUAUCAAAUACCCAGGAGCUACUAUGAGCACUGGUAAGGUACACAUCAAUUACAUGUAUAUCACAUAUACCUUUAGUGUUGCCGGCUGUCGGUGUCAAAACCGGCGGAUCUCGGGUAGGGGGUCCCGAACUGUGCGUCUAGGCGGAUGGUAACAGGAGACGAGGGACACGAUGUUUUUACCCAGGUUCGGGCCCUCUUGAUGGAGGUAAAACCCUACGUCGUACUUGAUUAAUAUUGAUGAUGUGGGUUACAAGAGUAGAUCUACCACGAGAUCAAGGAGGCUAAACCCUAGAAGCUAGCCUAUGGUAUGAUUGUUGUUCCUCCUACGGACUAAAGCCAUCCGGUUUAUAUAGACACCGGAGAGGGCUAGGGUUACACAGAGUCGGUUACAAAGGUAGGAAAUCUACAUAUCCGUAUCGCCAAGCUUGCCUUCCACGCUAAGGAAAGUCCCAUCCGGACAUGGGACGAAGUCUUCAAUCUUGUAUCUUCAUAGUCUUGGAGUCCGGCCGAUGAUGAUAGUCCGGCUAUCCGGACACCCCCUAGUCCAGGACUCCCUCACCGGCCUUCUUGUCCGCUAGGUAUUUGGGGCAGUUCCGCUUCCAGUGACCCUUCCCUUUGCAAUAAAAGCACUCAGUCUCAGGUUUGGGUCCGUUCUUCGACUUCUUCCUGGCAGCUGGCUUACCGGGCGCGGCAACUUCCUUGCCGUCCUUCUUGAUGUUCUUCUUACCCUUGCCUUUCUUGAACUUAGUGGUUUUAUUCACCAUCAACGCUUGAUGUUCCUUUUUGAUCUCUACCUCUGCUGAUUUCAGCUUUGAAUAUACUUCAGGAAUGGUCUUUUCCAUCCCCUGCAUAUUGAAGUUCAUCACAUAGCUCUUGUAGCUCGGUGGAAGUGACUGAAGGAUUCUGUCAAUAACCGCGUCAUCCGGGAGAUUAACUCCCAGCUGAGUCAAGCGGUUGUGCAACCCAGACAUUUUGAGUAUGUGCUCACUGACAGAACUAUUUUCCUCCAUCUUAGAGCUGAAGAACUUGUCAGAGACUUCAUAUCUCUCGACCCGGGCAUGAGCUUGGAAAACCAUUUUCAGCUCUUCGAACAUCUCAUAUGCUCCGUGUUGCUCAAAACGCUUUUGGAGCCCCGGUUCUAAGCUGUAAAGCAUGCCACACUGAACGAGGGAGUAAUCAUCAGCACGAUACUGCCAAGCAUUCAUGAUGUCUUGGUUCUCUGGGAUGGGAGCUUCACCUAGCGGUGCUUCUAAGAUAUAAUCUUUCUUUGCAGCUGUGAGGAUGAUCCUCAGGUUCCGAACCCAGUCCGUAUAGUUGCUGCCAUCAUCUUUCAGCUUGGUUUUCUCUAGGAACGCGUUGAAGUUCAGGUGGACAUGAGCGUUGGCCAUUUGAUCUACAAGACAUAUUUGCAAAGGUUUUUUAGACUAAGUUCAUGAUAAUUAAGUUCAUCUAAUCAAUUUAUUUAAUGAACUCCCACUCAGAUUAGACAUCCCUCUAGUCAUCUAAGUGAUACAUGAUCCGAGUCGACUAGGCCGUGUCCGAUCAUCAUGUGAGACGGACUAGUCAUCAUCGGUGAACAUCUCCAUGUUGAUUGUAUCUUCCAUACGACUCAUGUUUGACCUUUCGGUCUCUUGUGUUCCUAGGCCAUGUCUAUACAUGCUAGGCUCGUCAAGUUAACCUAAGUGUUUUGCAUGUGUAAAUCUAUCUUACACCCGUUGUAUGUGAACGUUAGAAUCUAUCACACCCGAUCAUCACGUGGUGCUUCGACACGACGAACUUUCGCAACGGUGCAUAGUUAGGGGGAACACUUUCUUGAAAUUAUUAUCAGGGAUCAUCUUAUUUACUACCGUCGUUCUAAGUAAACAAGAUGCAUAAACAUAAUAAACAUCACAUGCAAUUAAAGAGUGACAUGAUAUGGCCAAUAUCAUAUAGCUCCUUUGAUCUCCAUCUUAGGGGAUCCAUGAUCAUCUUCUUCACCGGCAUGACACCAUGAUCUCCAUCAUCAUGAUCUCCAUCAUCGUGUCUCCAUGAAGUUGCUCGCCAACUAUUACUUCUACUACUAUGGCCAAUGCUUUAGCAAUGAAGUAAAGUAAUUACUUGGCGUUAAAUCAUUGACAGGCAGGUCAUACAAUAAUUAAGACAACUCCUAUGGCUCCUGCCGGUUGUCAUACUCAUCGACAUGCAAGUCGUGAUUCCUAUUACAAGAACAUGAUCUCAUACAUCACAAUAUAUCAUUCAUCUUUCAUCACAACUUUUGGCCAUAUCACAUCCCAAAUCAUAUGAUGCAAAAACAAGUUAGACGUCCUCUAAUUGUUGUUGCAUGUUUUACGUGGUUGCAAUAGGGUUCUAGCAAGAACGUUUUCUUACCUACGUAAAAGCCACAAUGUGAUUUGUCAACUUCUAUUUACCCUUCAUAAGGACCCUUUUCAUCGAAUCCGCUCCAACUAAAGUGGGAGAGACAGACACCCGCUAGCCACCUUAUGCAACUAGUGCAUGUCAGUCAGUGGAACCCGUCUCACGUAAGCGUACGUGUAAGGUCGGUACGGGCCGCUUCAUCCCACAAUACCGCUGAAGCAAAAUAAUACUAGUAGUGGCAAGAAAGUUGACAACAUCUACGCCCACAACAAAUUUGUGUUCUACUCAUGCAAAGAGAACUACGCAUAAACCUGGCUCUGAUACCACUGUUGAGGAACGUUGCAGAAAAUAAAAAAAAUUCUACGGUUUCACCAAGAUCAAUCUAUGAGUUCAUCUACAUACCCUUGUAGAUCGAGCGGAAGCGUUCAAGAGAACAAGGUUGAGGGAGUCGUACUCGUCGUGAUCCAAAUCACCGAAGAUCCUAGCGCCGAACAGAUGACACCUCCGCGUUCAACACACAUACGGUCAGGCAGACGUCUCCUCCUUCUUGAUCCAGCAAGGGGGAAGGAGAGGUUGAUGAAGAUCCAGCAGCACGACGGUGUGGUGGUGGAUACAGCAGGGAUCCUGGUCGGGCUUCGCCAAGCGUCUGCGAGAGGGAGAGGUGUAGCAAGGGGGAAGGGAGGCGCCAAGUGCAUGGGUGCGGCUGCCCUCACUCCCUCCUCUUUAUAUAGGGCCCCUAGGGGGGCGGCGGCCCUAGGAGAUUGAAUCUCCAAGGGGGGGCGGCGGCCAAGGGGGUGCCUUGCCCCCCAAGGCAAGUGGAGGCGCCCCCACCCCUAGGGUUUCCAACCCUAGGCGCAGGGGGUCCCAAGGGGGGGCGCACCAGCCCACCAGGGGCUGGUUCCCCUCCCACUUCAGCCCAUGGGGCCUCCGUGAUAGGUGGCCCCACCUGAUGGACCCCCGGGACCCUUCCGGUGGUCCCGGUACAAUACCGGUGACCCCAAAAACUUUCCCGAUGGCCGAAACUCGACUUCCUAUAUAUAAUUCUUUACCUCCGGACCAUUCCGGAACUCCUCGUGACGUCCGGGAUCUCAUCUUGGACUCCGAACAACUUUUGGUUUACUACAUACUCAUAUCUCUACAACCCUAGCGUCACUGAACCUUAAGUGUGUAGACCCUACGGGUUCGGGAGACAUGCAGACAUGACCGAGACGCCUCUCCGAUCAAUAACCAACAGUGGGAUCUGGAUGCCCAUGUUGGCUCCCACAUGCUCCUCGAUGAUCUCAUCGUAUGAACCACGAUGUUGAGGAUUCAAAUAACCCCGUAUACAAUUCCCUUUGUCAAUCGGUAUGUUACAUGCCCGAGACUCGAUCGUCGGUAUCCCAAUACCUCGUUUAAUCUCGUUACUGGCAAGUCACUUUACUCGUACCAUAAUGCAUGAUCCCAUGACCAGACACUUGGUCACAUUGAGCUCAUUAUGAUGAUGCAUUACCGAGUGGGCCUAGAGAUACCUCUCCAUCGUACGGAGUGACAAAUCCUAGUCUCGAUUUGUGCCAACCCAACAGACACUUUCGGAGAUACCCGUAGUGCACCUUUAUAGUCACCCAGUUACGUUGUGACGUUUGGUACACCCAAAGCACUCCUACGGUAUCCGGGAGUUGCACAAUCUCAUGGUCUAAGGAAAUGAUACUUGACAUUUGGAAAAACUCUAGCUAAACAAACUACACAAUCUUUGAGCUAUGCUUAGGAUUGGGUCUUGUCCAUCACAUCAUUCUCCUAAUGAUGUGAUCCCGUUAUCAAUGAUAUCCAAUGUCCAUAGUCAGGAAACCAUGACUAUCUGUUGAUCAACGAGCAAGUCAACUAGAGGCUCGCUAGGGACAUGUUGUGGUCUAUGUAUUCACACAUGUAUUACGAUUUCCGGAUAAUACAAUUAUAGCAUGAAUAACAGACAAUUAUCAUGAACGAAGAAAUAUAAUAAUAACCAUUUUAUUAUUGCCUCUAGGGCAUAUUUCCAACAACACCAUUGUAAAGAGCAAUUUCAGUUCAUUGAAGAUUUUGUCCCUUGUGGUAGGCAUUCUUUGCAAAUUCUUUAGCUUAAUUGAUGUGCACUCGUUGUAAUUUUCAGUAGCAAGUGCAUCACGUAUUUGGUUAAUUCAUUAUUUUUUAUUUUCCAUCCAUAAUGAUAUUUGAAGACAAGGAAUUAGUAUGAGAUGCUUUGGGGGGUUCAAACACUUGGGUAAGAUUAAACACAUGUGCUGAAUUGGCAGUCCUUCAUCCAAAUUUUCUUGAUAAUGGUACACCAUUUGGCGACAAGUUCUCUACAAAACUGGUAUUUUUAUGACACAUGGCCGUGUAGCUGUGAUCAGAGAACUUGUUAAGAUAUAGUGGGAAAGGGACCAGAAAUGCGGUCUGUAUGACCGAAAACAUCCUGAACAAGUGAACAUAUGGUUGUUUAUUAUUUAUUAUGCUUUGUUUUUUAGGAAACUAUCUGAACUCUUCUGAGGGUCAAUCGUUCUCUAUUGUUUUUCUUCAGAAGUUUCUCCACGGUGGCACUUUCCACCUAGAAAGAGCAUCAAGGCCGGCGACCCCAUUUUUGUUAGGAUGGAAGAUAAAUUAUUGUUAAUUUUUUUUGAUUUCCUUUAUUCCGUAAAUGGGAAUACAAGAUAUGUUUGGGCCACAUGAUUCUAUUCCAAAAAUUUAAACAACUUAGCAAUUAAUGGUGCAUCUGUUAUGUAUUUGUUUAUAAUGAGCUCGACUAUUUUGCAACAUAUACUGCAUUUCCAGGGGUAACCCUUUUGGUUAUUUAUUUUUUCGCUAUGCUCUCUGAAGAUCAGAUUUUGGCCAUAUAGUUUCCGAUGACUAGAAGUCUAAAACUGAUGAUAGGGCAGAUUGUUUUGAUUCUGAUUACUUGGAGAUCUUGUGGUUUGCUGUCCCUGGAUCAGUCAGACCUAUGGCAGCAUCAACUCGUUGAUCCUAGAGGCCAUGGUUCUCGAGGUAAGAAAUAUAAGCACACUAGAGAGAAUCCAUGUGCCAUAUGAACAAAUCUCUUUCUCAUCGAUGCAAUCUUUUCAUUUAAAAUAAUAAUGAGCCUAGCCAACUCGCAUGGAGAAGGAUCCCCCGAUCGCUUCCUUCGAUGGCCGUUCAAUCGUGGUCAAACUGGUCUUUAGUUUGCUUCCCAUCUUGCUUCCAUGUUGGCUGCUGACUUAGAUGUCAUGCUACUUAGCUCAUUAGUUUGCUUCCCAUAUUGCUUCCAUAUUUUUUCUUCACCAUGUUAUCUUUAGCCUUCCACGCCACUGAUUUGGUUGGUUUAUUUCCUUGCAUAGUUCUCCUUGUUUGCCACUGAUAAAUACAAUGAUUAUGUGAUGUAUGUACUUAUUGUUUUAGCUAAUGCGUCUCUUCUAUUAUUAUUAUCAUCCUCUAUGGUUAAUCACACAUUUCAUUGUUGUGCUUCGGAGUCUAUGGUGUACUGCAUGCAACAUUAUACAAUCCGCAAUGGUUAAUAAAACUAAAUAUGAUAGCAAAUGAAAACUAUUGUGAUGCAUUGAACUGUGAUGGAAACAUAACAAAAGGCGUACAAUAACUUCAAACUUUAUUCCACUAACCAGAUGUGUCAAAUUUAUUGUACAAUAUGUUCUAAAUUUAUUCCACUGACAAGAUGUGUCAAAUUUAUUCAAUGUUUUUUGUAUUUUGGUCGAUGCAGUCCCAGGACUAACGUUGGAAUAUUCAUGUGUUAUAUGCCAAUAUAGAUUUCUCAAUGUAUCAUUUUGGCACUGUUUGACUGCUGAACAAUAUUUCCAUGCUGAUCAUUUCUCAUGUCUUUGUAAUUUUUGGUCUUUGUUUUGAUUUUGUUGUGUGGUGUGCUUUUAUCUAGGUGAGUUGAGUUGCUGCUUGGUUGGAGAUGUUGAUGUCGUUCGAGACGCCCGCUGGAUUCACACUUUUCAAGGUUCUGAAUAAGGGCAAGCUCGACAAGGUCAAUGUGAGUGUUCGUCACCACCUGAGCUCUUGGUUUGGUUUGGAUUACUCGUGUUUUUUUAUUUUCACUACAAAAUAACUUCUCUUUUCAACACACUUAGUACAUGACCUAGCAAUCACAUUAUAAUAGAGUAAGUGAGAAAAAGCUCUUUAUUUAAAUGACCAAGAAUCCACGGUGUGCUCCUGAACUGCAAGGAACACUCCACUACGAAACUCACUUAAGCAGGCUGAUAGAUCGAUGCUAAUUCUGUUAUUAUUAUUUUUCUUGCCUAAGCGCCGAACAAGCACUCUUGCAUUGGAGAUGCCCUGAUUAGCUUCUUCUACAAAUUUGUCCCAAUGCAAUUAGUAGGCUAACAUAUUCAAAAAAUGAAAUUUUGAAUGACAUAUAGCAGGAUAUGCAUGUAUUCCUACUCCUAUCUUAUAUGGACAAAUAGAUCUAACAGCUGGCUUGCUUGCUUGCAGUGGUACAGGUAUGAUCUUCAUGGAGCUAGCCAUCAUUGGAUUUGGUAAUACAUAAUCACUUAUUCAGAGAGCCCAAGGUGAGAAGGGACGACCAUCUAGAACACCGCCACCUACUAAUCAGUGAGCUACUAUAUGUCUUUGAAUGAGUUACUUAACAAGAUAAGGCAGGUAGCCAUAGAACACGUGCAAUCUCAAUGUUUACUAAUUAUCUAUUUCUGAAUUUAUUCGUUCCCAACUGCUCUGAAUCUGGGUGCUUUUCUUGCUGCUUUGUAGGAGUUUCCUACCUUUCUUCUGCAAAUCUGGAAUGCCUUUAUGGCAUGAUCAUGUGAAAAAGUACCUUGAUGCAGUAAUGGAUUUGAUUAUCACUGGUUACUCUGUUUUCACGAAUUACUAUCCAACUGUAAGUCUGUUCUAUACCCUAAGGCCCAUGUAAAUCUGAUAGAAGAUUAAGCUAUUUAAUUUUAACUAAAAAGGAUAAUAUUCUUUCAGUCGCUUGAAUCUGUCCAGACCUGAAAAAUUAUUAUACUUUGAAAGAUUGAUAUAUGAGUAUGUAAUUUUACAGGUAUGUAAAUACCAAACAAUAUUAUUAUUCAAAUGUGCUCGAGCCGGGUUUUCGGUGUUUCAUUGCAACCAAAAGAAUUAGUAAUAUUGUUUUGAUGAAAACAGGGUCGCACUUGUCAGUGUUGUAUAAUAGGAUUUUUAAUUAGUGGCAUAGGAAUUUUUCCCUAAGAUCCACUAUGAAGUUGAUUGAAAGUCCAUUUUCCCUAAGAUUCACUAUGACAAUGAAAAACAUUUCUGAAAACUGUGUCACCAUAAAUGUUCCAUCAUUGUCCAUAGCAGUCCCAUGCGGAAAAAAAAUCCUAUACGACCAAGUCGUAUGGACCCGAUCGUGAGACCCACUCCAGCACUCGCCAACUGUCCGUCCGAAUCUUAAUGCAACAGGCGUCUCCUUCCUCGCUUCCAUGUUUCACUCCUUAUCUCCUCCAAUGCACCCAAAAUCCAGCCGCUGGUCAUGCCAUUCUCGCCACCGCCCGACGGCACAGCGCACCCGCACCACUUUCCCCUGGGAGCCUUGCCACCAAUGGUGCCGGGCGCGGUGGUCGCCCCCGCCUCGUCCACCCUUCCCUGUUUGCAAAUCCAGAUUGAAACUCAAACCAUUUAUUCUGCUAGAUAUGCUUGUACUGAAAUUAUUAUCUUAUACAUUAACAGAGCAUGGAAGAACCAAAAGGUAGUUGAUCAGCGGGAUGGCAAGAGGAAGACAAGAACCAAAUUAAGUUUGUUGCUAUGCAUGUCUGUAUCUAUCAAGAUUCAGUGCUAUGUAGAAAUGUCCCUGAGAUUUGUUUCACUCAAGGAGACCAAACAAUCAGGAACACAAGUAGGAUAGUUGAUGAUUUUUUCAUUUUUCUUCUGGUAAAAAGGAAUCUUCCACUACUAGGGAAAAGGCUAGCACCAGCACGGGUUCUAGGUGUAUCAGUAGCGCGGGGUGGGGUGCUACUAAUAAGGCGCUACAGCUAACAUAUAGUAGUAGCGCGUGGUCACCGGCGCUACUGCUACACAAGUGUAGCAGCAGCGCGGUUACUGGGAGCACGCUACUGCUAGUAGCUCUAGCGCCCUUUGUAGCAACGCGCUACUGCUAUAGCGGCGCUGCUGCUAACUUCUAUACACUGGCUACUGCUAAUUUAACAUGUUUUUUGUUUUUUUGGGCAUAUUUGUUUUGUAUUUGAAUAGGCUUUAUAGAAGAAUCUUUAGCACAUAGAAAUGUCAUCAUGAUACACAUACAAAUGCCUGCGAAACCACGAAUAUAAUCAUAGCAUAUAUAUACAAAUAGUCUCAUCAUAAUCAUCAUCUAACACAAAGUGGUCUCUCAUCAUCAUCUCGAAAAUAGCGAUACAAGUCCUUGAUUACUUGCAAAUACAUCGUCAUCCAUCUAAACAAUUUCGGCAUGACCUUUGUAAAAACUGGACAAAUCGAGAACCUGAAAUUUGCCGGAACAGAAAUGAAUCAACAUUCCGGCAAAACAUAGGCCACUCAGCAUCAUUCCCUGGAAACAACAAAGCCACUUGGGCACAAUCGAACAACUUCAAUGAAAUGAUAUAACAUGAGCAAACACUAUUGAGGAAUUUGCAUAUAACAUGUCCACUUCAAUGAAAAGAUAUAAUCAACAAUAAUGAAAUAUGCAAAUGAACAUCAAUGACAUAUAGCUACUGUUCUGUUUGACCAAGUUUUUGAAAAGAAAAACAAUUCUGUUUUUUGUUUAUAGCUAAAUGCCAUAGCUACCUUUUUAAUUUAUAGCUAAAUACUUUUGUUUUUUGUCU